GACAGAGGGUGCAAACGUUGCUCGGAAUCACUGGGCGUAAAGGGCGCGUAGGCGGCCGAUCAAGUCGGGGGUGAAAGCCUGUGGCUCAACCACAGAAUUGCCUUCGAUACUGUUUGGCUUGAGACCGGAAGAGGUUAGUGGAACUGCGAGUGUAGAGGUGAAAUUCGUAGAUAUUCGCAAGAACACCAGUGGCGAAGGCGGCUGACUGGUCCGGUUCUGACGCUGAGGCGCGAAAGCGUGGGGAGCAAACAGG
rnacentral:rRNA from 1 species